UACGGGGGGAGCAAGCGCUGUUCGGAUUUACUGGGCGUAAAGGGCGCGUAGGCGGUCAGCACAAGUCAGUUGUGAAAUCUCCGGGCUUAACCCGGAAAGGUCAACUGAUACUGUGCGACUAGAGUGCGGAAGGGGCAACUGGAAUUCUCGGUGUAGCGGUGAAAUGCGUAGAUAUCGAGAGGAACACCUGCGGCGAAGGCGGGUUGCUGGGCCGACACUGACGCUGAUGCGCGAAAGCCAGGGGAGCGAACGGG
rnacentral:rRNA from 1 species